CAGAGAGGACAGGUGGGGGCUCAAGCUCUUGGAACCAAGGACAGAGGAAGUUCCAGCAAAUGCCUGGAUAAUUGAAGUCCCCUUCAUUACAACAUCGUAACUCUGUGCCAAGCUCUGUGCACACCUCUAGGCUUUAUGCCUAAGAAAAAGAAGCAGUUCCUGCUUUCAAGGAGCUUACAAGCAAUGGAGAAAAACUACACAUAAAAGGAUGAUGAAAGGGAUGACCCAGAGGGGAAUAUUGUUCUAUGGCAGUGCAGAGGAGCCAAUGGAAAAUGCAUGUGAAGAAGUCUUCUCUUGAAUUACAGCUUUGAGAGACACAAAGGCAGGGACGUCCUGCUUCUAGCCUACAUUGGACUCAAAUUAUCAGUGGAACAGCAUCAAUUGAUUUUAAAAGGGACUCACCUAACCUGAGCUAAAAUUGAAGGCAUAAAAUCAUCAUUGUUCCUAAUGAGGGGGUAGCUGCAGCUUGUGCUGUGUAGCAUUGCAUAUACUUGGCCACAGAAACGGAAGAUAACAUGAGGAAAAGGCACCGUCCACUCUCCUGACUGCCUUCCCACAUGGGAUGAUACUCUGGAAGAACAUGCUACUGUAUAUGCAGUUUAAAAAGAUGUAAGAAUCUCUGGUCGAGCUCCCAUCUCUAUCUCCCCUUGUGUAUUGGUAGUGCUUCAGAUAGUAGAAUCAGAAUUAUGUAAAGUAAUAGCAACUACAUUCCAUCUUCUGUUUAAAUAAAGUGAAUACUCAG